GACGAACGCUGGCGGCGUGCCUAAUACAUGCAAGUAGAACGCUGAAGAGAGGAGCUUACUCUUCUUGGAUGAGUUGCGAACGGGUGAGUAACGCGUAGGUAACCUGCCUUGUAGCGGGGGAUAACUAUUGGAAACGAUAGCUAAUACCGCAUAACAAUGGAUGACACAUGUCAUUUAUUUGAAAGGGGCAAUUGCUCCACUACAAGAUGGACCUGCGUUGUAUUAGCUAGUAGGUGAGGUAAUGGCUCACCUAGGCGACGAUACAUAGCCGACCUGAGAGGGUGAUCGGCCACACUGGGACUGAGACACGGCCCAGACUCCUACGGGAGGCAGCAGUAGGGAAUCCUCGGCAAUGGGGGCAACCCUGACCGAGCAACGCCGCGUGAGUGAAGAAGGGUUUCGGAUCGUAAAGCUCUGUUGUAAGUCAAGAACGGGUGUGAGAGUGGAAAGUUCACACUGUGACGGUAGCUUACCAGAAAGGGACGGCUAACUACGUG
rnacentral:rRNA from 1 species